rnacentral:rRNA from 1 species
GUCUGGUGCCAGCAGCCGCGGUAAUUCCAGCUCCAAUAGCGUAUAUUAAACUUGUUGCAGUUAAAAAGCUCGUAGUUGAAUUUCUGCGUCACCGUAUUUUGACUUUUGUCGACUGUCGGUUUCGCUUUUGGGAUUUAUCCCUUUUUACUUUGAGAAAAUUAGAGUGUUUCAAGCAGACUUUUGU